rnacentral:rRNA from 1 species
AGGGGGCUAGCGUUAUCCGGAUUUACUGGGCGUAAAGGGUGCGUAGGUGGUUUCUUACGUCAGGAGUGAAAGGCUACGGCUUAACCGUCGUAAGCUCUUGAAACUGGGAAACUUGAGUGCAGGAGAGGAAAGUGGAAUUCCUAGUGUAGCGGUGAAAUGCGUAGAUAUUAGGAGGAACACCAGUAGCGUAGGCGGCUUUCUGGACUGUAACUGACACUGAGGCACGAAAGCGUGGGGAGCAAA